AGGAUUAACGCUGGCGGCGUGCCUAACACAUGCAAGUCGAACGAGGUAGCAAUACCUAGUGGCAGACGGGUGAGUAACGCGUGGUCAACCUACCGUUGAGUGGGGGAUAACUAGCCGAAAGGUUAGCUAAUACCGCAUACGAGUCUCGGGGGCAUCCCUGGGUCUUAAAAGGAGCAAUCCGCUCGAUGACGGGACCGCGUCCCAUUAGCUAGAUGGCGGGGUAAUGGCCUACCAUGGCUCCGAUGGGUAGCUGGUUUGAGAGAGCGACCAGCCACACUGGGACUGAGAAACGGCCCAGACUCCUACGGGAGGCAGCAGUGAGGAAUUUUCCGCAAUGGGCGAAAGCCUGACGGAGCGACGCCGCGUGUGGGAAGAAGGCCUUCGGGUCGUAAACCACUGUCGAAGGGGACGAUAAUGACGGUACCUUGGAGGAGCCCGGCUAACUACGUGCCAGCAGCCGC
rnacentral:rRNA from 1 species